GAAAAUGACUUCCUGCUGAAGUGCAGGUCACGUGUUUAGUUAAGUCCCGCCCUAAAAUACACUAACCACGCCCACAGUCAGUCGUGACUGAAGUGACUGCUCAUUUACCGGUGUACUCAGCUUCAUCGUCCAUCUUGAACCCAUAUAACCAGCGAGAGCGGCGGCCGCGCGGCCAGAGCAAAGUCCGCUACGUGUUACAAGAGUUAAUGCAUAGAUAAGAGAGACAAGAUUGUGCUCAUACCUGGGGCUUCUAGGUCCCUGAGUUUUUUGGUCGGCCGUAUACCGGAUGCUAUCUCUGGUCCCUCAGCUAAGCCCCUGCUAUGCAAAGUGAUCAUGGUUCAUCAUGUGACUGCCGGUAGAAGCCGCGAUUGGGAUGUCCACUGUUCUGGCUCUGCUUCUAAACCCAGAGAAGUUAGGCUCUGUGAGAAGCCAGGGGACUCCAGCAUGGUGCUGGCUCAGGAU